rnacentral:rRNA from 1 species
UGGGGAAUAUUGCACAAUGGGCGCAAGCCUGAUGCAGCCAUGCCGCGUGUGUGAAGAAGGCCUUCGGGUUGUAAAGCACUUUCAGCGGGGAGGAAGGCGAUAAGGUUAAUAACCUUGGCGAUUGACGUUACCCGCAGAAGAAGCACCGGCUAACUCCGUGCCAGCAGCCGCGGUAAUACGGAGGGUGCAAGCGCUAAUCGGAAUUACUGGGCGUAAAGCGCACGCAGGCGGUCUGUCAAGUCGGAUGUGAAAUACCCGGGCUCAACCUGGGAACUGCAUACGAAACUGGCAGGCUAGAGUCGUGUAGAGGGGGGUAGAAUUCCAGGUGUAGCGGUGAAAUGCGUAGAGAUCUGGAGGAAUACCGGUGGCGAAGGCGGCCCCCUGGACAAAGACUGACGCUCAGGUGCGAAAGCGUGGGGAGCAAACAGG